rnacentral:rRNA from 1 species
UACGUAGGGUCCGAGCGUUGUCCGGAGUUACUGGGCGUAAAGCGCGCGCAGGCGGCGGUGCUGGCCCGGCGUGAAAGCCCCCGGCUCAACCGGGGAGGGUCGUCGGGGACCGCACCGCUUGAGGGCGGUAGGGGCUGGUGGAAUGCCUGGUGUAGUGGUGAAAUGCGUAGAGAUCAGGCGGAACACCCGUGGCGAAGGCGGCCAGCUGGGCCGUCCCUGACGCUGAGGCGCGAAGGCGUGGGGAGCGAGCGGG